UCCCUAGUGGCUCAAAUGGUAAAGAAUCUGCCUACGAUGCAGGAGAUCCAGGCUCAAUCCCUGGUUUGGAAA
rfam:TPA: Bos taurus chromosome 13, whole genome shotgun sequence.